rnacentral:rRNA from 1 species
CAGCAGCCACGGUAAUACGGAGGGUGCGAGCGUUAAUCGGAAUUACUGGGCGUAAAGAGUGCGUAGGUGGUUAAUUAAGUUAUCUGUGAAAUUCCUGGGCUUAACCUGGGCAGGUCAGAUAAUACUGGUUAACUCGAGUAUGGGAGAGGGUAGUGGAAUUUCCGGUGUAGCGGUGAAAUGCGUAGAGAUCGGAAGGAACACCAGUGGCGAAGGCGGCUACCUGGCCUAAUACUGACACUGAGGCACGAAAGCGUGGGGAGCAAACAGGAUUAGAUACCCCUGUAGUCCCUGUCUCUUAUAC